GAUGGUUCAAGCAGUUCCGAAGAUGAAAUAUCAAAAGCUGCAUUAAGAGAAGCGGCGGAUCACCAAUUUCUGAAGGUCGCCUAUUUUCCCAACGAAAAAUUUCAAAACUCAGACGUUUUUACGAAAACAGAUGAACACAAUCUAUUAAAGUAAAGAAGAAGAACAUAAACAGUAUUAUAAAUGAAAAGAAAGAAAAAGACAACAUUUAUGGCAUAAAGUUACUCAAUUCUUCUGUGCAGUUUUUAACAACU